rnacentral:rRNA from 1 species
GAUGAACGCUGGCGGCGUGCCUAAUACAUGCAAGUCGAGCGAACAGACGAGGAGCUUGCUCCUCUGACGUUAGCGGCGGACGGGUGAGUAACACGUGGAUAACCUACCUAUAAGACUGGGAUAACUUCGUGAAACCGGAGCUAAUACCGGAUAAUAUAUUGAACCGCAUGGUUCAAUAGUGAAAUACGGUUUUGCUGUCACUUAUAGAUGGAUCCGCGCCGCAUUAGCUAGUUGGUAAGGUAACGGCUUACCAAGGCAACGAUGCGUAGCCGACGUGAGAGGGUGAUCGGACAAACUGGAACUGAGAAACGGUCCAGACUACUACGGGAGGCAGCAGUAGGGAAUAUUCCGCAAUGGGCGAAAGCCUGACGGAGCAACGCCGCGUGAAUGAUGAAGGUCUUCGGAUCGUAAAACUCUGUUAUUAGGGAAGAAAAAAUGUGUAAGUAACUAUGCACGUAUUGACGGUACCUAAUCAGAAAGCCACGGCUAACUACGUG